rnacentral:rRNA from 1 species
UGGGGAAUAUUGCACAAUGGGCGCAAGCCUGAUGCAGCGACGCCGCGUGAAGGAUGAAGUAUUUCGGUAUGUAAACUUCUAUCAGCAGGGAAGAAAAUGACGGUACCUGACUAAGAAGCCCCGGCUAACUACGUGCCAGCAGCCGCGGUAAUACGUAGGGGGCAAGCGUUAUCCGGAUUUACUGGGUGUAAAGGGAGCGUAGAUGGCAUGGCAAGUCUGAAGUGAAAGCCCGGGGCUUAACCCCGGGACUGCUUUGGAAACUGUUAAGCUAGAGUGCAGGAGGGGUAAGCGGAAUUCCUAGUGUAGCGGUGAAAUGCGUAGAUAUUAGGAGGAACACCGGUGGCGAAGGCGGCUUACUGGACUGUAACUGACAUUGAGGCUCGAAAGCGUGGGGAG